AAGAGGAGAAAACUUCCGCCAGGCAGUUCCUGCCAAGGCAACGUGCUCCAGACGGUGCUGGGGCGUGUCCUGCUCAGGGGCUCACAUUUCAGUUCUGAGGGAACCCGUGAGAGAAGGCAGGUCCUGAUGUUGCAGGCUUGCAGGGUUCUUGUCUCAUGGAGCUGAAGAAGGAACCUCAUGGACACAAGAGGGUGAAGUGAAGUGAAAGUUAUAUUAAGUGAAGAAAUAGAUACCAAGAUGGAGUUUGAUGUGUAUGGUGUUUAUUGGAGAUAAUCUGUGGAAAGGAGGUGAAGGAAGUGGGAUUUCUUCAUGGGAAAGAUCCAAUUACCAUGCAGGCCAACAAUAGGAACCCUUUGGAGAGCUCUGGAGAAGAAAUGGCCUGUCAGAGUGCUCCCAUGUUGGGCUGAAAUGGCUGGGCCUUUGUCUCCUACCACUACCAGUCAAUGGAUAUGGGUCCCCCAGGAAGAGCAUGUUCUUGGGCAAGUCAGCUCUCUGCCACUGAGGCAAGAAGCAGCUGGUGAUUGUCUUUCCUUGAAAGGGUUGCAGGCACUGUGUCUCCAUGUCCACCACACAAAGAUAUCUAUAUACUUGCAGAUCAAUUGGGAGAAAUAUUCAUAACACAAUAAUAGGCAGAAAGUCACCAAGUCUGGGUAAUUAUGAAUUAAGUUCCUAUAAACAUCUAUGUGUAGGUUUUUAUGUAGAAAUAAGUUUUCAACUCCUUGAGUCAACACCAAGCAGUGCUGUUGCUGAAUCAUAGCGUAGGGGUCUGUUUAGUUUUGUAAGAAAUCCCAAACUGUUUUCCAAAGUGGUUGUGUCAUUUUGCAUUCCCACCAGCACUGAAUGAGAGUUCCAGUUUCUCCACAUCUUCACCAGCAUUUGGCCUUAUCAGUGGCCUGGAUCUGAGCCAUUCUAAUAGGUGAGGGGUAGCUUAAGUAAUUUCAAAUUAAUUUUUUAUGAAGCUCUCUGCUCACAUAUUUGAAAGAAGUCUUAAUUAUGAGUUUUGAAUAAUGAAGGACAGAGGAAAUGAAACUGUUUCAAUAGAACCCAUUUCUGAGUAACACUGCUAGGUCUAUCUUUGACCAAAAUUCGUCAAAGAUUCAUGUUUCCAGGGCACCUGGGUGGCUCAGAUGGUUGGGCGUCUGCCUUCGGCUCAGGUCAUGAUCCCGGGGUCCUGGGAUCGAGUCCCACAUCGGGCUCCCUGCUCGGCGGGGAGCCUGCUUCUCCCUCUGCCUCACUCUCUCUCUGUCUCUUAUGAAUAAAUA